ensembl:lncRNA
AAUAUGGCAAGAGUCAGACUAAAAGUUAGGAAGGAAAAAAAAAACCAUUAUUUUCUUUUACUUAAUUACUUUCUUAGGAUUUUAUUUAUUUGUUUGUUUAUUUUCUGUAAAGAAUUGUGGAUGGAUUAAACCUACAUUUGAGGUGAACUUGUUAAUAUUAGCCAGGGAGUAUUCCACUCUGGUUUGAAAAGUGCUCUUGCCAAAGCAGAGUGGUAGAGGAAAAUUUGCUGGACUGCCCCAAGGCCCAGCUCUCCCUACUCAGGUCCAAGCGCUGAGUGCUCUUUCAGAUUUGCUUUCUGAAGUCCUGGACAGCCUGAAGCACAAAGGAGGGGAAGAGUUCUGCAGUGUUCACAAAUGGAUUGUUGAAAAAGGUACCCUACAACCUUAAGACGAUUCAUCUGCAUUUCAAGACUUUAUUGGAUUUACAGAAGAUAAGGCAUCUUGUAUCACUUCCAUGUACAAAGCAGCACCUAUCUUCUGAGCUGGAUGUAUUUUGAAUAUUUAUGCAGAAACAGCUCUUUUAUGCAUUUUCAAAUGUUCCUGAUCUAGUUUAAUCAAUUAAAACAACAUUAAAUGCAUUUGAAUAUCUUAGCUCUUUCUCUUAUCAAUAUAAUUCUCAAAUGUUUUCUUUUCAGAGCCCAAGGUGAUGAAAAAUAGAUUCAUUUACUGUAUUACUUCUUCUAAUUGUGGCUCCAAGAGUUUUUUUCCCUAAUUUUGAAGCCACAAGAAGACUUUAUGUGGCUCUAAAACUGCUGUUGGUUUUCAUACCACAAUACUCAAGGGCAUAUCUCUCCUUCAGGCUGCUAUUGUUUGCAAUCUGGAGAUAAAGGCACACUUGAUAAAACUCUUUUAAUGAUGUUAAUAUUAAUACUUUGGAGGAAUACUUUAUCCUCCAGUAAUAGCUUUAAAGAGUUUGUUGAGAUUUUGUCACCUCAUACAUUUUAAUAGAAAAUUAGUUUUGUGAUUAACAAGAAAAAUAUAUCUACCUGUUACUUUAUUUUACUUACAGUGUCAUGUAAUGGCUGCCAGUGGAAUAAUGUAUACCUUUUCACCAUAUGUAGCUCAGCACUCAUGGUGAAUACUUGAUGCUUCAGACAGAAGUGAGGUGAACCUAGUCAGGAGUGUUAGCACAGGCCACAUUGUUUAGUGUCAGUCCUGUGGGAAGUUCUGUAUGGAGAUAACAUGCUUGGAGGGGAGGAGGUAAAACGCUUUUGUCUGAAGCUGGGAAAGCUCCCAAUCUCACAGGUAACCCUGCUGCUUUGACACUCCCUUUGAGGAGAGAAGGU